AGUGAACGCUGGCGGUAGGCCUAACACAUGCAAGUCGAACGGCAGCACAGUAAGAGCUUGCUCUUACGGGUGGCGAGUGGCGGACGGGUGAGGAAUACAUCGGAAUCUACUUUUUCGUGGGGGAUAACGUAGGGAAACUUACGCUAAUACCGCAUACGACCUACGGGUGAAAGCAGGGGAUCUUCGGACCUUGCGUGAUUGAAUGAGCCGAUGUCGGAUUAGCUAGUUGGCGGGGUAAAGGCCCACCAAGGCGACGAUCCGUAGCUGGUCUGAGAGGAUGAUCAGCCACACUGGAACUGAGACACGGUCCAGACUCCUACGGGAGGCAGCAGUGGGGAAUAUCGGACAAUGGGCGCAAGCCUGAUCCAGCCAUACCGCGUGGGUGAAGAAGGCCUUCGGGUUGUAAAGCCCUUUUGUUGGGAAAGAAAAGCAGCAGGUUAAUACCCCGCUGUUCUGACGGUACCCAAAGAAUAAGCACCGGCUAACUUCGUG
rnacentral:rRNA from 1 species